rnacentral:rRNA from 1 species
CGAAAGCCUGACGGAGCAAUACCGCGUGAAGGAUGAAGCCCUAUGGGUCGUAAACUUCUUUUCUCAGAGAAGAAUUUUGACGGUAUCUGAGGAAUAAGCAUCGGCUAACUCUGUGCCAGCAGCCGCGGUAAUACAGAGGAUGCAAGCGUUAUCCGGAAUGAUUGGGCGUAAAGCGUCUGUAGGUGGUUUGACAAGUCUUCUGUCAAAGAUCAGGGCUUAACCCUGGGCAGGCAGGAGAAACUAUCAGGCUUGAGUUCGGUAGGGGCAGAGGGAAUUCCCGGUGGAGCGGUGAAAUGCGUAGAUAUCGGGAGGAACA